rnacentral:lncRNA from 1 species
UGGCAGUUUGAUCUCUGGUUCCUCUGUCUUUUCUAAAUCCAGCUUGAACAUCUGGAAGUUCAUGCUUCGUGUACUGUUGAAACCUGGCUUGGAGAAUUUUGAGAAUUACUUUGCUAGCAUGUGAGAUCAGUGCAACUGUGUGGCAGUUUGAGCAUUCUUUGGCAUUGCCUUUCUUGGGAUUGGAAUGAAAACUGACCUUACAGUCCUGGGGCACUGUUGAGUUUUCCAAAUUUGCUGGCAUAUUGAGUGCAGCACUUUCACAGCUUCAUCUUUUAGGAUUUGAAUGAGCUCUACUGGAAUUCCAUCACCUCCACUAGCUUUGUUUGUAAUGAUGCUUCCUAAGGCCCACUUGACUUCACAUUCCAGGAUGUCUGGCUCUAGGUGAGUGAUCACACCAUCACAAUUAUCUGGGUUAUGCCCAGAUAAAUUUAUCUGGGAAUUUUAGGGUGGUGAUAUUUAUGUUCAUACCAGAAAUGGUAAUUUAAGACACAGGGAUAAGGGGUCAGAUAACAUGGAGAAAAGACAUGUCUUUUGCAGGUAUUACUAGCAGAGUGUUCUAGCAGAGGAAUUUGUUCUGCUAAGAGCUCUUACUAUAAUCUUUAUUUUCUCUUUAUUUAUAGGAAUUUUUGUUUGCUUCUUGGUUUGUUUUAUUUUCCCAGAGGUCAGGAUUCAAGAAUCAGAAAGUGUCCUCCCCAGGACCUCUCAGAGAAGCACAGAGGCGAUUUCAGGAGACACUGCCUUGCUCACAUCCAAGAUACGGGUGAUGUGAUGGGUUCACUGGUAAAGGAACCCCAGAAGGAAGAAUGAAAAUUAUCUGGGUGAUCUUGAGUUUGAAGUAAGUGCCCCUGGGUGAUGUCUAACAGGAAGUUGGAAAUGUGGGGCUGGGUGGACCUACAGAUGCCUCGGUGGGGAUUGGUGUCUGAUCACUGGCACCUCCCUCUGAUUAAAAUAAUCAUUACUGUGAUGAUACAGUGUAAGUGCUGAAUAAGGACUUGCCACUAUACCAAAGCUUUCAUAUGUAUCAUCUCAUAGGGGAGCAUUUUGGGCUAUUGAUAUUAUUCUUGGAGUCAUUGAUAAUAAACAAUAGUUACUGAGUGUUUAUUAUAGGAAA